AGACCUGAGACUGGCAGUUGAUGACUUAGGCACUGAAUAAAUUCAUCACUGGCAUCUAGGGAAAGUGUUAACUGUACAACAUUGUGUUUACUGGGGCCAACAGGAAUCAGUCCUUUGUGGCAACUCAUGACAGGGAAACAAGUAAGAACUAAGAACUCGGGCAUUCCUAAUUUUCUUCAACUAAUUAGGCAACAGAGUUAGC